rnacentral:rRNA from 1 species
UACGUAGGUGGCAAGCGUUGUCCGGAUUUAUUGGGUUUAAAGGGUGCGUAGGCGGUUUUUUAAGUCAGUGCUGAAAUACUCCAGCUUAACUGGAGGGGUGGCAUUGAUACUGGAAGACUUGAGUACAGAUGAGGUAGGCGGAAUUGACGGUGUAGCGGUGAAAUGCAUAGAUAUCGUCAAGAACACCGAUAGCGAAGGCAGCUUACUGGGCUGUAACUGACGCUGAUGCACGAAAGUGUGGGGAUCAAACAGG